UACGGAGGGUGCGAGCGUUGUUCGGAAUCACUGGGCGUAAAGGGCGUGUAGGCGGUCCGCUAAGUCUGAUGUGAAAGUCCAGGGCUCAACCCUGGGAUGCGGGUGGAUACUGUCGGGCUCGAGUCCGGAAGAGGCGAGUGGAAUUCCUGGUGUAGCGGUGAAAUGCGCAGAUAUCAGGAGGAACACCGGUGGCGAAGGCGGCUCUCUGGUCCAUGUCUGACGCUGAGGUACGAAAGCCAGGGGAGCAAACGGG
rnacentral:rRNA from 1 species